rnacentral:rRNA from 1 species
AUGCGCGCGCGGCUAAAGAAGGGCAAGACAUCGGCGAAGAAAAACAAGGCGGCGGACGGCUCCGGCACCUCCAAGGCGAAGAGGAAGAAGCUUGCGGGGCGUGCGACGGGCGCGGCGGCUGCCGAAGUGCCGGCAAGCUCACUCGUUGAGCCGGCGGCCGGCGCGCACAACAUGUUCGACGAAAUGCCUCCAAGUCUCAAUGAUGAUGCAUACAUGUCAACGAUGGGUGUUGGCUCCAACAAUUCGCAUUGGUCUCAAACCAAUGACAUGCAUUUUGAAGACCAUGAGUUCGAGGUGGACGAGGAGGGUGAGGGCAUUGUCGGCGCACCGAAAGGAAGAGCGGGCAAUUACACCAACACCGAUGACAUCUUACUAUGCAAUACUUGGUUGCAAGUGUCGAGGGAUCCAUCCUUCAACAUUGCGCAAAAUUUGUUCAAAGAAGAGGAGAGGAAAACCAAGAAGGAGAAGAUCAAGAAAGGAAGGGUCUUUACUUUGCCUCAUUGCUAUGAUGUGUUGAAGGAUGAUGAGAAAUGGAAGAAGCGUGAAGAUUUGGAUGAUUUGCAUUUGAGCGACAAACGGAAGCGAACAAUUAAGUUGCAUGAUGAUGAUGAUGAGGAUGAUGCAUCCAGUGAUGACGGCAAGAGAAGUCCUACACCCAACUCGGUUUCUUACUCGAAGCCAAAGCGACCAGAUGGGUGCAACAAAGACCAAACCCAAAAGAAGAAGAGGAAAGGAGAUGAUAAGCUCAAACAUGCUAUGGAAGCUAUUGUGAAGCCAAGAAAAGAAGCCAACGAGGUGAGGAAAAUGGCAAGGACCCAAGAUGCCGCGGCUGAGGAGAGGAGGUUGGCGGCCGAGGAGAGGAGGGUGGCGGCCGAGGAGAGAAAGGUGGCUUUGGAGGAGAGGAAGGUGAGCAAUGAGGAGCGAACUAGGUUGUUGGAAUGGGAGAAGCACUUGUUCUUCUUGGACACAACUAACCUCAAUGCGAUGCAAAAGGAUGGCAUCGGCGCCAUGGGUGGCGGUGGCCUCGGCGCCAUGGGUGGCGGUUGCAUCGGCGCCAUGGGUGGCGGUGGCCUCGGCGCCAUGGGUGGCGGUGGCCUUGGCGCCAUGGGUGCCAUGGGUGGCUUCGGAGGUACCGUGGGCGGUUUAGGUGCAAUGGGAGGCAUGGCUGGCUUUGGAGCACCCCCCGACGCUAUGGCCACGAUGGGAGGCAUGAGUUUUGCUUCUCUCAUGGGAGGCAUGGGUGCACCUCCGGCCGCCAUGGGCGGAAUGUCUUUCGAUGAGCCUCCUCGCACACAUUCCCAUAAAGAUGCCGUUGAAGAUCUUGCCAACACCGUCGGAGCUUCACGUGAUGCGGUGCGCGAGAGGGAGAAAGAUUCAUCUUCGGAGGCGGAAGAAUCCUCGGCUUUCCUCCUGGUGAUCACCACCACGGCGACCUUGCCUUGUGUUGCUCUCGCGGUAAGCGAUGAUGAUCAGCACAGGAGGAACAUCCUGUGGCGCCGCGGGUCCAUCGCCGUGGGGGACGACGCUCUGGUGUCCCCGAGCGGCGACUUCUCGUGCGGCUUCCACCGCGUCGCCACCAAUGCGUAUGUGUUCGCCGUCUGGUUCACCGCAUCGGCCGACCCGCCCACCCUCGCGUGGGCCGCCAACCGCGACGCCCCCGUGAACGGCAUGUGCUCCCGCGCCGAGCUGCUCAGGGACGGGUCACUGGUGCUGCGGGAUUUCGACGGGCUUGCCGCGUGGAGCACCAACACCAGCGGCACCGGCGCCGACCGUGCGCAGCUGCUCGACACGGGCAACCUCGUUGUGUCCGACGCCGCCGGCCGCACCCUGUGGCAGAGCUUCGACUGGCCCACCGACACGCUCCUCCCCGGGCAGUUCAUCACGCGGCACGCCCGCCUCGUGUCGGCAAAGGCGAGGGCCUCCACGUACUCCGGUUACUACAGCUUCUACUUCGACAACUUCAACAUCCUCAACCUCAUGUACGACGGCCCGGAGAUCAACAUGAACUACUGGCCGGACCCCUUCAAGACGUGGGUGGUCAACAAGAGGAUGGCCUUCAACAGCAGCCGGCUUGGCAGCCUCGACGAUCGCGGCCGCUUCUCGGCGAGCGACAAUCUGCGGUUCGCCGCCUCCGACAUGGGCGCCGCUGGGCACGUCAUGCGGCGGCUGACGCUGGACUACGACGGGAACCUCCGGGCUUACAGCCUUGACGUCGCUGGCGGCGGGGUCUGGCACGCCACGUGGGCGGCGCUCCUGCGGCAGUGCGGCGUGCACGGGAUAUGCGGCCGCUACGGCGUGUGCGCGUACGGGCUGGCCGGCCCGGCAUGCGCGUGCCCCGGUGACUGGAGCAAAGGCUGUCGGCGCUUGUUCGACGUCCGGUGCGGCGAGGACGUGUACUUCGCCGAGCUGCCGAACGUGGACUACUGGGGGUUCGACUACACGUUCGCCGAGAAGAUCAGCAUCGACGCGUGCCGGCAGAUGUGCCUCGACGACUGCAACUGCGAGGCGUUUGGCUACAAGAAGGGAGGAAGCGGCACAGGGCCGGCCCUAGGGCAUGGCGAGGACGGCAAGUGCUACACCAAGAUCUCCCUGUGGAACGGCCGAGGCCCGGAACCCAAGCAGUUCAUCUACUUCAAGGUCCCUAAACGCGUCGAGAAGAAGCCCAACCUGUCGUCUGUAUUGCGCUUGCGCUUCGAUGGCCAUGACUGCAGCACCACGCAAGAACGAAACGCCAGCGUCGUCUACUCGCCCUCCCGUCACCUAAAGAAUAUCAGCGGCGGCAAGAUAAAGUUCGUCUACUUCUACGGUUUCCUCGGGGCAUUGUUCGUCGUGGAAGCCGUCGUCAUCAUCGCCGGGUAUCUGUUCAUCUUCCGAGGCAAGCCGGCCGCAGCGCGACGAGUCGACGACGAUGGCUAUAGCUUGGUGAUGAGCCACUUCAGGAAGUUCGCGUACGACGAACUCUACAAUGCCACCUGCAAUUUUGGUGAGGAGCUCUGGAGGGGAGCAUCCGGGGCGGUGUACAAGGGCGUGUUGGACGACGGCCGGGACGUGGCCGUGACGCGGCUGGUGGAGGUGACGACGCCGCAGGCCGAGGAGGUUUUCCGGCUCCUCGUCUCCGAGUACGCCGAGAACGGCUCGCUGGCCAGGGCCCUCUUUGACGGGGAUGGCGGUGAGCAGGUCGUGCUGGGGUGGCAAUCGAGGUACAAGAUCGCCGUCGGCGUCGCCAAGGGGCUGGCCUACCUGCACCACGAGUGCCUCGAGUGGAUCCUGCACUGCGACAUGAAGCCCGAGAACGUUCUGCUGGACGCUGACCUGGAGCCCAAGAUCACCGGCUUCGGCCUGGUGAAGCUGCUUAGCCGGCAAGAGGACGCGUGCGACAAAGCGCCGUCCCGUGUGAUGGGGGCAAGUGGGCACGUCGCGCCGGAGUGGGCGCUGAGCGUCCCUAUCACCGGGAAGGCCGACGUGUACAGCUUUGGCAUCGUGCUUCUGGAGCUGCUCCGUGGGCAGAGGUUCAGCGAGUGGACGGCGUUGCAGGGGGUGCCCGGAGAUGACGAGGAGGCACCCGUGGAUUUACGGGAGAUCGUAGCGUGGUUUAAGGACAAGACGCUGGAGUGCCAAUGUGAGGGGUUGGCGCCGGCGCCGUGGCUGGAGGAGUUCGUGGAUGCGCGGUUGCUCGGUGACUUCAACCGCUCGCAGACGACGGUGAUGCUGGAGGUGGCUGUCUCGUGCGUACAGGAUGAUCCCAGCAGGAGGCCGAGCAUGAAGGCCGUCGCGCAGAAGCUUCUCUGAGUCUUUGCUGAGAACUCGGUGACAAACACCGGAAAGUAA